UUUCCAUAGGUGAACCUGCGGAAGGGUCAUUG
rnacentral:rRNA from 1 species